UAUGAACAGUAAAUCUGAUCUGGACCAAUCAGAUUAUUCAUAACAAAAUUAUUCAGAUUUAAAAAAAAAACUCAAAAAUCCAACUCAUCUUCGUACUCACCCUCUAAACUUCCUUUUUACAACUCACGUUCUCCUUAAAAAAAACUUCCCACGUUUCACAUCCCACUUUCUCCUUGAAAACGUUUCCAAGCUUCCCUUUUUACAACCCACAAUUCUCUCUCUUCCUCUCUCAAUCUUCAGAAAAAGAUUCAGAAAAUCAAAAAAACUCCUCUGCUUCUCCUCCUCCAUCUUCAAUGGCAUCCUCCUCCUCCAUCUUCUUCAAUGGAUUUGAUCUGGUUUCGAUCCUUUUGUAGCGGGUACACGUUCGCUGAUGCCGGCAACUUGGAGCAUUGUGCCAAGUAUUUGAACCAGACGCUGAUGACCUUCGGAUUCCCUGCUUCGCUCGAUCUAUUUGCUGCGGAUCCGGUGAGCGACCUCGAUCUGAAGGUGUAGGAAUCAAUUGCAAGGACUUGCAAUUUCAUACAUUCUUUACUUCAGCAGAAGCAGAGGGAUAUUGAGUUUAGGGAGUCGGCUAAUGAUCAGAGGCAAAGGUUUGUUUUUCUUCUGAUAUAUCUUAAUCUUAAUUUAUCUAUUUUAGAAAUAUGUCUUAUGUAGUCCCUCUAAAGACCGAGAGCUCGCCACCUUAACCCGAAAGGUUUGUUUGUCAGUUAUAUUAUGGGGAAACUUUCCAUACUCUAAAAUUUCCAACUUCAUGUACAUUCUAAAGCUGGACGUGAUCAGGAUGCUAAAGCUACCACCGUGUUCAAAGCUCAGAUUGAAAAUCUGCAAUAGGAAAGUGAUGAAUUUCAAAAGAUGGUUAUUGGUAAUCAGGUGAAGAAUAAGUUGUGAUAGUUGUGUCAUGUCAGGUUACAUCUUUUUUUGGCAAAAUAAGUUAAUAAUACAAGGACAUGAAAAUCUUGCAUAAUAUAUUAACCACUUUGAUUGACCAAAAUAAACCUUUUAACAAAAAUAAAUGUAGAACAGAAAGUUAAAAAGUAUGCAUACUAAUUGCAAGUUUAUGUAUCCCCUUUAUCAAGUGUAAAUCUAAGGCAGGUUGCGAUCAAUCAGGUGCUGGAAGGAUACAUAGAGAUCAUUGUUAUUAUUCAGACAUACCUUAUUGGAUACAAUAGUUCUAAUAAGAUAUUCUUGAAUUAUGACAUGGACUAAUAGCUAUUAUUUUUUAGAAGUGCAAUUUUCAGUAAGUUAAGAUUAUAUCUUCUUACUUUUAUCUUAUGAUAGUUUCAUAGUUUUCCUUCAAUUGUGAAAGAUAACGAGCUUCCAUGUCUCUCAUAUAGCAAUUUAUACAUCUAACUUGAUGUAUAGUUAUAGUAUUCAAUCUGAUAUUUUGAUCAUUAUUUCUUUCUUUCUUUUUUUUCUGAAAGUAGGAUAAUCUCAAUGUUCUUAUAUCCUAAAAGAAUUACUUCUUGAAGGGACACCAUGCUGAAGAUUGGUAAACUUCUUUCUUUCUUUCUUUCUUUUUUCAACUAUUUUGUUCUUUCUUUCAAUUGGUAAACUAAUCAAUGUUCUCAGAUAAUGUUUUGAUUCUAUGUCAAUUUUGUUACUUUGGUCCUUUUAAAUUUUGAGUAUUAGUUAGUAUAUAUAUUUGCAACAAAAGCACAUGUAAAGUUUUGAACUUUAUUUAAAAAACUAUUCAUCAAGGUUAUAUAGUAUUAUUGUAGGUGACUGUGUGUGAUUUGGUUGAAAUUUAUUUUAAAAUUUAUUCAUCAAAGUUGUAUACUAUAAUAAUAAAGCAAUCUACAUUAUAUAUAUUGAAAUUGGAAGUACAAUUAUGUUACUAACUAAAUCUUAUUUCUAUUUUUUGGGUAGAAAUACAGGGUCUAAUCUUCUCUGUUCUUCAUUUCACAUUAACAUCAGCAUAGAAAACUGAAGGUACGAUAUAUCUUUUGUAAUCAAUUUUCCUUGGUAUGUUUUGAUGAACUUUGAUGCACUGCUAUGUUAGGAGAAGUAAAAUAUUUU